rnacentral:SRP_RNA from 1 species
GCUGGGCGCGGUGGUGCGUGCCUGUAGUCCCAGCUACUUGGGAGGCUGAGGUGGGAGGAUGGCUUGAGCCCAGGACUUCUGGGCUGUAGUACACUAUGCCGAUCAGGUGUCUGGACUAAGUUCGGCAUCAAUAUGGUAACCUCCUGGGAGCGGGGGACCACCGGGUUGCCUAAGGAGGGGUGAACUGGCCCAGGUUAGAAACAGAGCAGGUUAAAACUCCCGUGCUGAUCAGUAGUGGGAUCACGCCUGUGAAUAACCACUGCACUCUAGCCUGGGCAACAUAUCAAGACCCAGUCUUU